CCUACGGGUGGCUGCAGUGGGGGAUAUUGCACAAUGGGGGGAACCCUGAUGCAGCAACGCCGCGUGAGUGAAGAAGGCCCUAGGGUCGUAAAGCUCUGUCGUAUGGGAAGAAACAAAUGACUGUACCAUACAAGAAAGCCCCGGCUAACUACGUGCCAGCAGCCGCGGUAAUACGUAGGGGGCAAGCGUUAUCCGGAAUUACUGGGCGUAAAGGGUGCGUAGGCGGCUAGUUAAGUCGAGGUUAAAAGGCAGUAGCUCAACUAUUGUUGGGCCUUGAAACUAAUUAGCGUGAGUAUAGGAGAGGAAAGUGGAAUUCCCGGUGUAGCGGUGAAAUGCGUAGAUAUCGGGAGGAAUACCGGUGGCGAAGGCGACUUUCUGGACUAUAACUGACGCUGAGGCACGAAAGCGUGGGUAGCAAACAGGAUUAGAUACCCCAGUAGUC
rnacentral:rRNA from 1 species